rnacentral:ribozyme from 1 species
AAAAAGAGAAAGAAGUCGCUCUUCAACAACAGCAGCAAUUUGCAGAUAUGGAUAUUGGUUGAUUCAUUUGAUCUAUUAUUAUUUUUUUAGCUGCUCUUUUUUUUCUUCUUUUUUUUUUGCU